UCGCAUUUAGUUUAAUGGUAGAAUCGUCGUCUCCAAAGCGUCUAGUGAUCGUUCGACUCGGUCAAUGCUUG
rnacentral:tRNA from 1 species